CGUAGAAGACUAGUGUUAUUCAUCUUUAAUAGGUUUAAAGGGUACCUAGACGGUAUAAUUAGUCUACAAUAAGAUACGGUUAUACUAGAGUUAUAUAUGAGGAGGUGAGUAUUUAUGGAGUAGAGUUAAAAUUUUUGAUACCAUGACGACUGAUAGCGGCGAAAGCAACCUCUUAUCUAAUAACUGACGUUGAGGGACGAAGGCUCGGGUAACCAACAGGAUU
rnacentral:rRNA from 1 species